AACGAACGCUGGCGGCAGGCCUAACGCAUGCAAGUCGAGCGAGGACUUCGGUUCUAGCGGCGGACGGGUGAGUAACGCGUGGGAAUGUGCCCUUCUCUACGGAAUAGCCCUGGGAAACUGGGAGUAAUACCGUAUACGCCCUUUUGGGGAAAGAUUUAUCGGAGAAGGAUCAGCCCGCGUUGGAUUAGGUAGUUGGUGUGGUAAUGGCCUACCAAGCCGACGAUCCAUAGCUGGUUUGAGAGGAUGAUCAGCCACACUGGGACUGAGACACGGCCCAGACUCCUACGGGAGGCAGCAGUGGGGAAUCUUAGACAAUGGGGGCAACCCUGAUCGAGCCAUGCCGCGUGAGUGAUGAAGGCCUUAGGGUUGUAAAGCUCUUUCAGCUGGGAAGAUAAUGACGGUACCAGCAGAAGAAGCCCCGGCUAACUCCGUG
rnacentral:rRNA from 1 species